UUUGAGAGUUUUGAUCCUGGCUGGCUCAGGACGAACGCUGGCGGCGUGCCUAAUACAUGCAAGUCGAGCGCGGGAAGCGAGCUGAUCCCUUCGGGGUGACGCUCGUGGAACGAGCGGCGGACGGGUGAGUAACACGUGGGCAACCUGCCUGUAAGAUCGGGAUAACUCCGGGAAACCGGGGCUAAUACCGGGUAAUACUUUCUUUCGCAUGAAGGAAAGUUGAAAGAUGGCUUCUCGCUAUCACUUACAGAUGGGCCCGCGGCGCAUUAGCUAGUUGGUGAGGUAACGGCUCACCAAGGCGACGAUGCGUAGCCGACCUGAGAGGGUGAUCGGCCACACUGGGACUGAGACACGGCCCAGACUCCUACGGGAGGCAGCAGUAGGGAAUCUUCCGCAAUGGACGAAAGUCUGACGGAGCAACGCCGCGUGAACGAUGAAGGUCUUCGGAUCGUAAAGUUCUGUUGUUAGGGAAGAACAAGUACCGUGCGAAUAGAGCGGUACCUUGACGGUACCUAACGAGGAAGCCCCGGCUAACUACGUGCCAGCAGCCGCGGUAAUACGUAGGGGGCAAGCGUUGUCCGGAAUUAUUGGGCGUAAAGCGCGCGCAGGCGGUUCCUUAAGUCUGAUGUGAAAGCCCACGGCUCAACCGUGGAGGGUCAUUGGAAACUGGGGAACUUGAGGACAGAAGAGGAGAGUGGAAUUCCACGUGUAGCGGUGAAAUGCGUAGAUAUGUGGAGGAACACCAGUGGCGAAGGCGACUCUCUGGUCUGUUUCUGACGCUGAGGUGCGAAAGCGUGGGAGCAAACAGGAUAGAUACCCUGGUAUCCCACGCCCGAAACGAUGAGUGCUAGGUGUUAGGGGCUUCCACCCCUUGCGCUGA
rnacentral:rRNA from 1 species